ACCCACCUACUAUACUAUUCACGUGUCACAUCUCACUCCCUUUCACUAUUCCCUUGUCACAUCACCCACCUACUACACUAUUCACGUAUCACUAUUCCUUGUCCCAUCGUUCAUUUUCAACACUCCUCCUCUAAUCUUUUCUUAAUAUAUGUACACACAAAAAAAGAAAAAAAAAAGACCGGAUGGACCUCUUUCUUCCCCAAGCAAAAAAUGUACCAAACCUCCAUUAACACCUACCUCUUUGAUGCCAAAAAAUUCAGUCAAAAUCCAGCACCCUUUUAGCUAUAAAAACCAACUGAAACUACCCCCAAAACAUAGCAAAAGAUACCCACGAAUCUCACCCUGAAUUCCAGCAAAAGGCAGCCCGAAAUUACAGCAAAAGCUGCCCAAAAAUGCCGCAAAACAGCUGCAAAACGUACCUCCAUUAACGCCAAUUUUUAUCUUCAAAAUUGCCGCAAAAAUGCAGUAAUUCUCCAUAAAAAAACAGCUCGCAAACAUCACAAAACCAGCAGGAAAAAGCCAUUCUUGGUCGCUAAAAUCUGAGUGAAAAUAGUCCGGAAAAAGUCCCCGACGAGGUCUUGGUUUGAGGUUCCGGCUUACGGUCAGUUACGAGUUGACGACGAAGGUCUCAUUUUUGUUUCUGGAUCUCUUCACUUUGAACGAGAUUAUGUACGAGUCGGAGAGUUUUUCUUAUCAAUAUAUUUGAAAACUGUUGCAUUUUCAAGGUUCGUUUCCAUGCUCUUAUCAAUAUUUUCAUCAAAGUUUCAUGUUUUGAAUUAUCGGUGUGAUUAUGUGGUGUGUUUAACUGUUGAAUCAAUGUAAAAGUUUGAGUGGUUUAUUGCUCUCUAUUUCAUCAACGACAAAUGCUACUGUGUUUUGAAUCAAUCUUUUACUAAGUGCAUAUGUUGUUUAAUAGUUAUUCUUGUCAAGUGGGGUUCUUAUGGCUUUAUGUUGGGUGUGAGUAUUAAUCAUGAAUUGAAAAAGUCAAAUGAGCUAUUAUUUGAUUUGGUAGAGAUCACGUUGGAGCUUAGCAUGAGCUUUCAUUUUAUUCUAUUCAUUUUCUUCAUCAAGAAUUAAGUAUAGAUAAAAUAGAAUAAAUAAGUAGGAUUUAUUUACUUGUCGCAUUAUCUCACUAUACCCGGCAUAAUUGAUACCUCUAGUAAUCUUUAAUAAUCAAUCAUAUAUUUUCCGUAAUUCUACCCUGUAAUCUUUGAGCCUCACAAUAAUUCCAAACUUAGCAAAUAAUUAAACAACUUUGAAUAACGUAGUAUGCUUUAGGUGUGGCCAAUAAUAGAUUAUUGUGACUAUGGGUACGGUUCUGUGGCAUAAUCAUGGUACAUAAUUCCAAAUUCGAGUGCACGCUUGUGUAACUUGAACUUAACUGCAAAGUCAUAAUAAAAUUAUAACGUUAUUUAUAAUGUAAUUUUGUCCUUCAAUAAAUAAUCAAGCAAUGAAAGCGUACAUAGGUAAAACAUGAAAACCAAUAAAAUAUAGUUUAUCGAAAAAUAAUUCAAGCUAAAUUUAAUCAAUAAAAGCAACCUUGCUAAAACCACGGAACUCGGGAAUGCCUAACACCUUCUCCCGUGUUAACAGAAUUUCUUACCCGAUCUUCUGUGUUCGCGGACCAAAAAAAUAGAGUUAAUUUCCUCGAUUUGGAAUUUAAAAUACACCGGUGACUUGGGACACUAUAAAUUAUUUCAAGUGGCGACUCUGAAUAAAUAAAUAAUCUCAUUUCGAUUAAUAUCACUUUAAUUAGAAAAACUCCUCAAUCCCCUCGGGAAAAAGGAGGUGUGACAGGUCUCAAGAACAAAAACAACAUAACGAAGGACCAGUUUCCAACAUUGUGUUAUUAUAUGUCCUUAGUUGUGUUGCACCUUUGUUAAAGUGAUUUACUUGUAAUUUCUACUUAGCUUAACUAGAAGCAUUGUAUAGGAAACCAUUUGUAAAACCAUAAACCUUGUGUUUGUAUCUUGGCUAGAGUUAGUCGAGUUGUGAGCUUUGUAAUGAGAGUUAUUACAAAGAGGCUUGUAAUAGAGUUAUUACAAGUGAGUGAGGGAUUAAAAAUUUAAUUCCUAGGUUACAAUAGGUUGUAAUCUAAAAGUUGCUUGGUUAGUGAAGUUGAAAUCCUACAAAUGUAGGUCAUGAUUUUUAAUCCCGUGAGCCGGGAGUUUUUCACGUAAAUCUCUAUUGUGUUAUUUAUUUAUCUCUUAUUGUGUGUAUUCUGUGAAAACUGAUAGAGAACCAGUUUCUCUAUACAGUUUGGUGGACCCUAAGUUUCUAUCAUCAUAGUCAUAGAACUACAACUUAUGAGUGAGUUCAAUCAGCUAAAUUUUAUGGAUAUAUGUUGGAGUGAUCUCAAUAAGUAAAAUUUCACUUAUCAUCGUCAUAGUUAUGUUGUGUAUCUCUGGAUACAUGACAAGAUUUUCUCGUUUUUUCUCUCCAACCAUUCUGCACAGUGCAUCCGAUGUAAUAUUGGUAGUCUUCAAUUAUGUUAAGAUUAUAAGAUAUAGCAAUAUUAUUACAAAUUCAGAGGAAUAUUGUUGCUCCCAAACGCACACACAAGUAUACGUGGUCGUAUAAGUAAUAAAAUGAUAAGUCGAGUGUCGAACCCAUAGAGACUUGUGUUAACUACCCACUAGUUUCACCAAAAUUAUUAUUCAGUCAAGUCAGUCACAGUUCAAAAGUGUGUUUAUACUAAGCAAUAAUUCUAACAAGUAACUAAUUUAUCAGGCAACCAAAUAAUUGUUGUGUAUAUAGUAGAGGCGAAUAUUCAAGAGUUGUGAUUGGUUCACUAAUUCUAUUGUGUUCUAAUUUAACUCUCCCUUUCAUACAAUUCAGUCAUGGUUGCUAAUUAAUCGAACAAUUUCUCUCAUAUUAUUCUCCCGAAUUCCUACUCGCCUAUUCAAAAUAGAUUAAUGCCUAUAUUCCUAUGGAAUCAAUAUAUUACGAACGCAUUAAGAUUGCGAUAUUUAAUUAAACAAGGUGACUAGGUAUAUUCCUAUCCUAACUACAAAUCCGCCCCCUACUCAGAGUUAAGAUCAUGCUCUCUUCAAUUCUUCUCUAAUCUAGACGUAGCUUUCCCAAGCAUAGCAUAGAUAGUAAAUAGAACCUAACUGUUGGCCAGAUAAUUAAGCAAUUAAUCAUAAAAUUGAAGAAAUAACCAUAUAUUAGUGAAUUAUAAUUAAGGUUAAGUCAACUUUAAGAAACAAUAUUCAUGGCUAAAUCGCAACCCUAGAAUUAUGGGUUUUACCACUCAUGAUAAUAUCAAAACAAAUUCACAAGUAUUGAAUAAUUAAGAAUACUAAGAAAACAUGAAAAAAACUAAGAUAUCCUCAUUCCCGGAUGAUCCUUGUGUGUAUUUUUGCUCCAAAGUAGCGUCUCCCCCUUCAAAAUAGGCUUAGUCUUUCUUUUAUACGCGUUGGGUAGGUCUUGGGCCGAAAUAACCUUGUUCCGGGCAAAGUAGGAGAGAUUUUCUGUCACCAGCGCCCAGCGUAGCGUGAGGUGCUAGCCCUGGCGCUGGGAUUUUUUAGGUUCUGGAAACUGGGCCACAAGUAGCACUCCACGCUACCUGUGGCGCUACAAAUGGCCAUUUUCUAAUUUUGCUCCUUUUUGGCUCCAAUCUCUCACGUUUCGCUCCAUAUUGCCUCCGGAUGAUUCCUUCACAUAAAAACACCACGAAUUAGCAUAAAUCAUUACAUUUCACACCCGAAAUUUACGAAACACGAGUAAAAUGCAAGGCGAUAUACAUAUAAAUAUAUAUACUUUAAGCUAAAUAUCAACACCCCACACUUAUAUUCUUGCUCGUCCUCGAGCAAUGGGGCUAUCAACUACACCUCAACAACAUACACAUCUCAACUAGAGAGGAGCACUUCAAUUUUAACCAUAUACUCUACUCUUGACUAUGAUCGAUACCGGCAAUCAAGUACGAAUAUACAACUUUCACAUUCUUCUCGUUUUAAGCAUGCCCAAGUAUAAAUAUUUCAAUUCAAUCAACUCAAACAACCUAUAUGUCACCACCCUACCUCAAGAGCCAACUCGUUACCACUAAGCACCCUCAACUCGCGUACUCAUCUAACAAGAGAAGUUUACAACAUUACCAAUCACUCAUGAGAUCAUGUGCCCUCGCCAACAAACAAAAGAGUAAAUAUAGAAUAGUACACACAUUCAAGUAUGCCUUUGAACAUAAUUUAAGUAUAUCACACAAUUUGAACAAAAAGAAUCGCUCACUCUCACAAAGAAUUCAUGUGCAUCCCAUGGUCGUACCAUAAGCUUGCCCAUAGUGUACAUCUGUACUAAUCAAAGCUAGCCAAAUCUAGGAACAAUUAGGACUUUAAGGUUGUAAUUUAGGCUAAGGGAUGGGUAGGAUACAUCUAGGAAUAGUGACUAACCCUUCUAAGUACUUUAAUAUACUACACUCACAAAUCAAGCACACAUUCUUCUCAACCAAUUCAGUCACCACAAACCAUAUACAACAUAACCUUUUUUUUCAAUUAAGCAUUUCUAUAUUCCCACUAGCAUGCAUUAGCAAGAUUAGGAGGUGUGUGUUUUUCUACAUUAUUUGAAUUAUUCUUUUUUUCUUCUUGCACUUUUUUUCCUUCUUUUUCUCUUUUUUUUUUUCUACACACCCUCCAUACAUUAAGGUUCAUCGUCUAGUGACCUUUUUUUCAUAACUUUAGUGCACCUUAAGGGCCCUUUCAUAGUUCCACUCUAAAGCUACUCUCCAAUCUUUUACCUUACUUUUUUUAGCGACUAAGUGCAUUAGGAGAUAAAGAUUCAACAAUCUCAAAUUAAGAACAAAAUAGGGAUACGACUUGUAAUGUGGAUGCCAAAGGAAAGGUCUAUGGGAUCAAAGGGGCUAGCAACGAAAAAUUUUAUUUUUAAGUGACAAGCACAUCUAUGAUCAAGCAAGAAACGCUUACGUCAUCUCCUAGACUAGCACAUUGCACAUGACUCAAUUGUAAUGACCCGGCCGAUCAUUUUGAGAGUUAGAGCCCCGAACCCCUAUUAACUACUUUCCCCAUAUCUAUUUCUGUUAUUGUGACAUGCCAGGAUGAUUGGGUUUGAGUUUCGGAGUGUUUUGGGACACUUAGUCCCUAGUUGUGAGUUUAAAUCUUAGAAUUUGGACCGUAGUCGGAACUGUGAGAAGACGGAUCCAGAAUAGAAUUAUGUCACUCCGUUAACUCCGUUGAGUGAUUUUGGGGUUAGGAGCGCGUUCGGAAUAUGUUUUGGAGGCCUGUAGUAGAUUUAGGCUUGAAUUGGAGAAAGUUAGUUUUUUCGGCGAUUUCGGCCGAUAGUGAAAAUUUUGAUAUCAAGCUCGGAAUGGAAUUCCGAAAGUGGUUGUAGGUUCGUAAUAUCAUUUGUGACCUGUGUGUAAAAUUUGAGGUCAUUCAGAUUAGAUUUGAUGUGGUUCGGCAUCGUUUAUAGAAUUUGGAAAAUUUUAAAUUCUUAGGUUUGAAUCCAUGCUUAAUUCAUGAUUUUGGUGUUGUUUGAUGUGGUUUGAAGGAUCAACUAAGUUUGUAUAAUAUUUUAGGAUUGGUUGGAAUGUUUGGUCGAGGUCCCAGGGGCCUCGGGUGUGUAUCGGAUGCUUAACGGAAUAAAUUUGGACUAAGAACAAAUCUGGUGCUUUUGCUGGUUCUGCUGUAAUCGCACCUGCGCAAGGCUGCCCGCAGGGGCAAGAAAAUUGGCAUAGAAGCAGAGUUGGGUAGAUUGUUCAGGGGUCGUAGGUGCGUGGGAAAAGGCCGCAUCUGUGAUGCCCGCAAAUGCGCAAGACUGUUCGCAAGUGCGCAAGUUACGGAGAAGCGGAAGGGAUUUCCGCAGGUGCGGCCCUUUCGUCGCAGGUGCGAAGGCAGAGGGGGAAAGUGAAUUGCGCAUAUGCGUACGUUUUUCGCACAAGCCCACCCGCAGGUGCGAGCCCAGGUUCCGCAGGUGCGGAAAUACCUGGGUAGUGGUUAAAACCAAAGGGCUUCGCGAUUUUUGUCAUUUUUGACUUUGCAAACUCGGUUUAGGGCAAUUUUGAGAGCAUUUUCGAGGCAUUUCUUGAGGUAAGUCCCUUGUGCUUAUUUUUUAUCAAUAAUCUUGCCUUGCCAUGUAUUUUCUCACCUAGUUAGUGUGUAUUUAAGGUGAAAAUUGGAAGUUGGAGGCUAGGAAUUUGGAAGUUUGAUUUGUGGAUUUGGAGGACCAUUUGGUGUCGGAUUUUAGUAAAUUUGAUAUGGUUAGACUCGUGAGUGAAUGGGUGUUCAAAAUUUAUAAUUUUUACCCGAUUCCGAGACGUGGGCCUGGGGAGACCUUUUGGGCAAUUUUCCUAAUUUCACGCUUUAGCUUCGAAUUAAUUAGUUAAAUUAGUUACUUGUAGUUAUAUUUACAUUAUACAAUUUAUUUGAAUAGAUUCGGGCCAUUUGGAGUCGGAUACUCGUGGCAAGAACGUGAUAUCGAGUUGAUUUAAUCGGUUCGAGGUAAGUGGCUUGCCUAACCUUGUGUUAGGGACUUUUCCCUUAAGAUGUUCGAUAUUAAUUGAUGUGUGGGCGCCGUGUACGUGAGGUGAUGAGUACGUACAUGGGCUAUUAUUGCAAAAACCCCGUUUGUUUCCUUUUUAAAUCAUAAACUAUUUUUCCUUAUUAAAUUGUACUAAUACGUUUAAUUGUUAAACUUAGACAAGAGAAGCAUGUUUACGUGUUUUAACUGCAUAGUCAAAAAUCCCGAGCGGGAUGAAAUGGCUCGAAAAAUAAAAGCAUGGAGCAGAGUUUAAAGAAUAUGCAGGGCCUGAGCAGCCAAAAGAGUGUCUCUUACUUUGACUUGUGCAUGUUUCCCCAUGUCCAGUUACUAGCUAGCUUUAAGACGGCAAAAUUUGAAAAGUACGACGGGCAUGGAGACCCGAUCGCUCAUUUGUAAAGAUAUUGCAACCAGCUAAGGGCC
rnacentral:lncRNA from 1 species